GCCGGCGCCAUGUCUGUGAGCGAGAUCUUCGUGGAGCUGCAGGGCUUUCUGGCUGCCGAGCAGGACAUCCGGGAGGAAAUCCGAAAAGUAGUGCAGAGUUUAGAACAAACAGCCCGGGAGAUUUUAACUCUACUGCAAGGGGUCCAUCAAGGUGCUGGGUUUCAGGACAUUCCAAAGAGGUGUUUGAAAGCUCGAGAACAUUUUGGUACCGUGAAAACACAUCUAAUGUCUUUGAAGACCAAGUUCCCUGCUGAACAGUAUUAUAAAUUUCAUGAGCACUGGAGGUUUGUGUUGCAGCGGCUGGUCUUCCUGGCGGCCUUUGUUGUGUACUUGGAAUCAGAAACACUAGUGACUUGAGAAGCAGUCACAGAAAUUCUUGGCACUGAGCCAGAUCGGGAGAAAGGAUUUCAUCUGGAUGUAGAAGAUUAUCUCUCAGGAGUUCUAAUUCUUGCUAGUGAACUGUCGAGGCUGUCUGUCAACAGUGUGACUGCUGGAGACUACUCCCGGCCCCUUCACAUCUCCACCUUCAUCAAUGAGCUGGAUUCCGGGUUCAGCCUCCUCAACCUGAAAAACGACUCCCUGAGGAAGCGCUACCAUGGCUUGAAGUACGACGUGAAGAGAGUGGAGGAGGUAGUCUAUGAUCUCUCCAUCCGAGGCUUCAAUAAGGAGACAGCAGCAGCUUGUGUGGAGAAAUAGGAGACUCUCCUCGGGCCUGGCCUUGCUGACCUCAGUGGUUGCCAGCGAGGCUGAGCGCAGGGCCUCUCACUGUAGUUACGGUGCCCUGUCGCUAAGCACCGCGAGUUAUUUUCUUAGCCAGUUGUGUGGUAUGUGUAUCAGAAUCGGAACACUUCUUUGGGGGUUAAAGAUUAGCCUUUACAAGGACAGGGUUUUUUUUGUUGUUGUUGUUUUAGUGAAUUUGCUCUGUAAUUCAGUUCUGUCAAAAGUACAAAUGUCAGUCUCUUGGUAAAGUUUAUUUCCUGCUUACCCUGAUGCUGUUGAUGUCCUGAUUGAGAAGUUUAUUGUCUUGUGAUCCUCGGUAUUUUCUAUAUCCAAAGUAGCCCCCAUACACAGGUAUGCAAACAGAUAAUUAAAAAGGAUGAUUGCUAACCAAAGGA